AGAACAGCCUCCAAAAUGUUGCUCAGCUGUGUCAUCAUAUGCAAAAACAAGACAGAGACAUGCACGUACAAAAACCGCAAUCACCCCUUCACCUCCCCAAGCUGCGAUAACAGACAUGGACGGAACCAAAGACAGACCCGGGCCUGUAUAGAGAGAUACUGACAGCAAGCAGAGACAGAUCCUGACCCCAUACGCUCGGCCAGACAGGAAGUUUUUUUCCCCUCGGUCUCCCCAAUUGUACUUGGCCAAUUACCCCAUUUUCCGAGCUGUCCUGGUCGCUGCUCCACC